GACGGAGGAUGCAAGUGUUAUCCGGAUUCACUGGGUUUAAAGGGAGCGUAGGUGGGUAGGUAAGUCAGCGGUGAAAUACCCAAGCUUAACUUGGGAACUGCCAUUGAUACUAUCUAUCUUGAAUAUCGUAGAGGUUAGCGGAAUAUGUCAUGUAGCGGUGAAAUGCUUAGAUAUGACAUAGAACACCAAUUGCGAAGGCAGCUGACUAUGCGAAUAUUGACACUAAGGCUCGAAAGCGUGGGGAUCAAACAGG
rnacentral:rRNA from 1 species